UCUUCUAUCCAGCAAGAUGUCGAAUCCAACUUGGGAUUUCUUUUCCUGUCAGUGGCAAUGAAACAACAGAGCAGAGCUUGCCAGUUUUUAUUUAAACAAAUCUCCUUUCACUCACCUCCAACGUUCAAGAGAUAUGGCGGAGGUGGAGAAGGGGGCCACUUGGGUGGCAACGACUCAAGCAGAUUUGGAGGGGGCGUUCUUGCUGCUCCAUCGAAUUAUGGAGCGGGAGGAGGAUGGCGUCGGAGCAGCGGCUGGGAAGACAGCGGGUUCGAGUGGGAGUUGCACAAGGAAAAACGUACGACCCUUGAAGUGCGGUCGCAACACGAAACUCCUCAACAGAGCCCUCAAAGUCCAGGUUGAUCGUGACCUAAAGGCCUCCGUCUUCCAAACUAGCAGAAGGAUGAUCGAGGCGAUUGAUGAGUACCAGGGAGAGGAUCCCCUUCAACCAUGGCUCGAGAGUCUAAGAACAAGUUCAAGAAGGUUGAUGAGAUUUACAAUCUUGGAUUAGCUAGUUUGCCAACUACCUGUUCUGCUCGUUUGGUUGGCCACAACUAGUGUAUUUGUUUGGUAUUCUUUGGAGCUAAGAUCCACAUAUAAAGGAAGGCAAAACCAAUCGAGAAGUUGGAAGCUGCAUACAGGGCAUUCCUCGUGUGUUCUACAAAGAGGAGCAACAAGGAAGAUCAAUAAUAAUUGACCCCUCUCUGUGUACCAAGAUGAAAAUUCCAAUACAAAUGAUCAACACUCGAAUAUGAAAAAAAAAUGAGAAAUCUUGGAAUUCACUAGGAAGUCGAUUUGAUCGAACAAAAAAAAUACCUCAAUGCCCACCAGAUGAACAUCAUAUAAGGUUCCACAAAAAGGACAACGAACAAGUUCAGCAGCACCAACUCCAUUGAUUGAGGAAGCAAAUUGAAACUGGUGCAAGUAUAGUUACAGCAACCUGCUAUGUGCGUCAUGGUGGUGUGCAUGGAUGGAGCCUUAUGCUUAAAUUCACAAGUAGGAGAGCAAAUGUACUUGCAUAGACACUUCUAUGGCCAGACUUUAUGAGAGGAGUGCUUUCGAAGAUGUCAUAAGUUCAUGCAUGAAUAAAAGAUAUGUUUUUCAGAUGGAGAUUAUCGUCAGAGCUAGCAAGAAGGGCUAUCACAUUAAA